ensembl:lncRNA
GGCUCCUUGUCCGCUUGGGCUCCGAAACUGUGGCGCUCCGGAGGCCACCGAGGAUCGGGCUCGUGCGGGCCGAGCAACACGGGCGACCCCGCCGGAACCCGGAGUCCAGCGCGGCCGGCGCGCGGAACUUGCGGUCACGCCCCCCGCUGGAGGGGGCGUGGCCCUAGCCGGAAGUGCGUCACCCUCGCGUCGACCCUACGUGGCGCCGUUCUGAGGGGCUCCGCUUGGAGACGCGGCCCGUUGCCGUGGAGACGGAGGCUGCGGCCGGCAAAGGCGGGCCUCCGCGGCGCAGAGCUGAGGCCUCCUCGCCACGGAGUCCUUCUGACCGGAUUUGUUUUAAAAUCAGAGUGACGCCAGUAUGUGGCUUUGAUUCCCGCAGAACCGAAGCCUCGCAGUGAAGAGCAGCGGCCCCCUGCCGUUCACCCCCGCGGCAAGUUCUUUUCGGUGCUCGUAGCCCUCCACCGAUGGAAACCUCCGUGUCUACACCGAGCCGCUGGGCUUUGGGGUUUCCACUGCGGACAUGGUGGACCUGCCGCGCGGCCUGAGCACUGAGCUGUCCAGACAGCGCCGCAGAACCGGCCCCGGGUGGUCGCCGGCCCCCUAGCCCUCCGCCCUGGCUCCGGCUUUUUCUCCUGAGCUCACAGGCUCCUCGUGGUGUUCUCAUGCCUUGAUGUGAGAGGCAGCCGGCGACGGUUUUCUUCUGACGUUUUUGCCACACGCCUAUCGGUAACAUUGCCCGAAGGUUCAAACGCACUGGCUCUGUUUAAUUCCUGGAGCCCUCCGCCCCCGUUCGCCCCUCUGAACCCACCGCACCGCCCUGUCUCGAGCUGUCCUCAGCUGCCAUCCGGCGGCUCCUGCGCACGAGCUCUUCCCUGGAAUCGGCCAGCUCCGUCUCGGUUUACGCUCUCAUUUCGCUCAGGUCAGCCCUCGAGUAGCUUUCUGGAAAGGGGACCCUGUGAGCCAAUGGUGGAGUGGCCGCCGCUCAGCGGCAGGAGGAGUGAGCUGCAGGAACGUGCGGCAUGGAAAACUCUACGAAGCAUCGUGCCGAGGGGAAGACACAGACACAAAGGAGAAAGCACGUCCGUUUGUGAGCCUGGAACAGCAAGGCUGCAGUGACUGGAGGCACAGGAGCCAUGAGGAGAGGGACCACUAGGGGCUCAAGAUGACGUUGCAGGAGCCGGAAGUGUUUGUGUCUGGGUCAGGGGUGGCUGCACAGGUGUCCGCUUUUGUCAAAACUCAUCACAUUUUACUCUAAAAAUGGAUGCAUAUUAUUUUAUUUUUUAGAGAGAGAGUGCGCAUGCAUGCGCAGGGGUGGGAGUGGGGGAGGGGCAGGGGGAGAGAAUCUCAAAAGGACUCCCAGCUGAGCACAGAGCCGUAAGCAGGGCUCCCUCUCAUGACCCUGCGAUCAUGACCUGAGCUGAAAUCAAGAGUCAGAUGCUCAACCAACCUGAGCCACCCAGGCGCCCCAAUAAAAUGUGUGUUUUUUAAAAAGACAGUUAAACUAGAAUGAGAGCGUAUCAUGCUAAGCAAAAUAAGUCAGAGAAAAACAAAUAUGAUUUCACACAUAUGUGGAAUUUAAGAAAACAGAUGAACACAGAGGAAGGGAAGGGGAAAUAAGAGAGAAACAGAGAGGAAGACAAACCAUAAGAGACUCUUAACUAUAGAGAACAAACUGAAGG